GAUGAAGAACGCAGCGAAAUGCGAUAAGUAAUGCGAAUUGCAGAAUUCAGUGAGUCAUCGAAUCUUUGAACGCACAUUGCGCCCUGUGGUAUUCCGCAGGGCAUGCCUGUUCGAGCGUCAUUUCAACCCUCAAGCCCCGCUUGGUGUUGGGCCCCGCCCGCUGUGGCCGGCCCUAAAGACAGUGGCGGCGCCGCCUGGCCCUCAGCGUAGUACAUCUCUCGCUCCAGGGUCCGGUGGCCGCCUGCCAGAACCCCCCAACUCUGUGGUUGACCUCGGAUCAGGUAGGGAUACCCGCUGAACUUAAGCAUAUCAAUAGCGGAGGA
rnacentral:misc_RNA from 1 species